GAACAAAGCCGACCUCCUCGCCCCGCCCCCUCCGUCCCGCCCGGGCUGCUCGCCCCGCCCCCGCGCGGCGCUGGGAGGCGGGAGCUGUCUCUGAGAACCUGCGGGAGAGCGCCCGGGCUUGCUGCUUCCCGGACCCGCGCGUCUCUCGAGCACCCUCGUCCCACCACCUUGUGAGGCCGUAGUGUUAUUUUUAUUUUUUAGAUCAGCAGACUGAGACUCGAGGUGACGUCACUCCGCAGAGAGGUUAGCUGACUUGAAGAAAACGGGUAUCUCCUCUUUCCAUUUCGCCCGUGUAAACAGCCGAACUGCCUAUUAUAAAAGCAUGGACUGCCAGCAUUGGAGUGGUCCUUAGAGGCCUAUUAUGAAAUCAUAGAAUGUCUGCAUUGGAAUCGCCUCACCUCCUUUUACCGCUGGAGAAGCCGACGGACAGACGGGCAGCGACCCCCGCCGUCGCACAACCCGUCUAGGCAGAGAGCGCAGGAGACGGGAGGGCGGCAGGGACACAUCUCCCAGCCAAGGACCUCCUGGGCCCGCAGAGGCCGCGACAGGUUCCCCCCACAGAGGGAACCAACUCUGCCGCAGGUUGAUGUGGACUUCAAGCCUGCAGAACGGAGAGCCCAUUUCCAUUGCUUAAAGCCACCUCGUGUGUGGUAUUUGUUAUGGUCCCUGUACACUCCCUUCCCUCCCUCUCCCAAGUCCAGUCCGCAGCUCGCUCAUCACCAGGCUCUUUUCCAUGACUCUUUCUUGAUCAGGCCUUUUUAUCGUCCUCACCACAGGUUAGAGCACAGCAGACUGAGCCACCCAGAACUGGCCCCUCCGGUGGACCAGCCCCUGCGGAUUCACAGACCACUGGUCCUGGAAGGGACCUUGUCAAGCAGGCCCAUAAGGUAAUCCCUCCCCGGAAAGAGAAGAUCACAGAUUUUGUCAUAUUAAAUACAUUGUAGAAAUUCAUGGUAGCAGGGGCAAGAUCAUUUAAACAAAACAGAAAGUUUCAGAGAGAGAAAAAGCCAAGGACAAAGAUUAAUCAUUUUUCUGCUUAAAAAAAAUGGCUUUGAUUUGCAACCAUGGAAUGCUCCACUGUUUCUCUUCUCUUCAAAGACAUCUACUGAAAGGAUUCCUUAACCUUACCAAGUGGCCAAAAUACUUUUCUGAGAAGAGUCACAGAGCAUAGGCCCCCCUAGGGUACACAGAGAUUUCAUUAGUCCCUAGAUGUUUCCUGAUCCUUUUAAAAACUGGUUAAAUUCAGAGACUCUAGGCAAUUACUUCUUUCAGAACCUGUGAGGCAAAAACGAAAGAAGAAGGCAGGACACGCAGUGUAACAAACCUUGGAAUGGACUUCGCCAGACUUCAUCAGAAGAAAGCAGUGCAAGAGGGGACUGCAGAGGAAAGCUGGGGCUUGGGAAACCAGCAGCAGGGGCCACGUGGGCAGGUGGUUUCUGUGUGAACCUCUGAUCUGUGCAACAUAAACAGGAAAUGUUGAAGGCUUCCAGUGCUCUUUUUUGAUGUCGAGAACAUUCUACGGCACAAAAGAGUUUGCCUCUCACUGUUUCUCAUAUAUGGAGGUUUUCUAAUCAGCAUCCUGAACAGAAUUGAAUUAAAAAUAAAAACCAAAGUAAAACUAGCUUUAUCUCUAGAUUUUAAAAUUUUCAUUUUUUUUAGGGUGGCACCUAUACUGUUACCUUGUAGGUACCAACUAGAAUAUUCUUUCUAACUGCCUGUCAUUCAUGGUUUACCUACUUGGAAGCUUAACCCUGUCCAAGACUGGACCCUAG
rnacentral:lncRNA from 1 species